rnacentral:antisense_RNA from 1 species
UUAUAUGGUGGCCAUGCGUGGGGCUCUUUCGGGAGCGCCGGGGUUUACUCGCUUAGACCGGUCUACCAACCUGCGUAAUGGUCACCACCCUC